rnacentral:rRNA from 1 species
UACGGAGGAUGCAAGCGUUAUCCGGAAUGAUUGGGCGUAAAGCGUCCGCAGGUGGCUAUGUAAGUCUGCUGUUAAAGAGUCUAGCUCAACUAGAUAAGAGCAGUGGAAACUACAAGGCUAGAGUACGUUCGGGGCAGAGGGAAUUCCUGGUGUAGCGGUGAAAUGCGCAGAUAUCAGGAGGAACACCGGUGGCGAAGGCGGUGGUCUGGGCCGGCACUGACGCUGAGGAGCGAAAGCGUGGGUAGCAAACAGG